rnacentral:rRNA from 1 species
CAUAUUUAAUAGAAUUUAUUAUUAAUAUUACCUGCUCAAUGAAAUUAAAUAGCCGCAGCUCAUACUGUGCUAAGGUAGCAUAAUCAUUUGUCUUUUAAUUAAAGACUAGAAUGAAAGGUUUAACAUUUAAAUUACUUUAAAACAUUCUUCACCAAAUUUAUUCUAAAUGUAAAAAAACAUUUAUCUCUUAGAAAGACGACAAGACCCUAUUGAACUUUACUGAAGUUUAACUGGGGCAGUUAAUUAAUUAACAUUUUAAUUACUCAUUUUAUAAAAAUGACCCAAUCCAAUUGAUUAAAUGAUCAAGCUACCAUAGGGAUAACAGCGUAAUAUUUUUUAUUAGAUCGUAUUUAAAAAAAUGUUUACGACCUCGAUGUUGAAUUAAUUAUUCUAAUAGGUGCAUCAACUUAAAAAGAAAGUCUGUUCGACUUUUAAAUAAUUACAU